rnacentral:rRNA from 1 species
UGGUGGUGUGAAUUGUCUGGUUUAUUCCGUUAACGAACGAGACUGCUCUAUGGGGGGGUUGGUUUACAAGACUAGUGCGCGGAAUGGCUUCGCGUCAUUCUGUUCGCAUAAUCUCCAACUACUCUUGACUUCAAGUCAAUGGAAGCUCCCCGCAAUAACA